GGUGAAGCCACGGAAAGAUUCGCCGAAAAACGUACUUUCUCGGAGGGGGCUGAUUAAGGGCAAGGGCAUAAAGGUCAUUUUCACAGAGUCAAACCAUAGUGAAAACAUGACCAACAGAACGGGCUCGACGAAACAAAGAAGUAGGCUUUGGAAUCACCUCAAACGGAGUUAUAGAUAAGAAGAUAUGGCAGGUUGAAGUUCAGAGACUUUUCUGUAAAAAGAAUAUUCACAGUCGGGUCCCUGAGUGGAUAAGGCAUAGGCGCAAAGUUAGAAAUACGCUUUCAAUCAGUGAAAACGUAAACUGGAAAUGCGUCUUCACUUAUCUGAUGUGGCGUGGACUGGUCUAAAGGGGCAGAGGCGGGGCCGGGCGUCAGGGUCGCCGACUGGUGGGGCCGCGGGGCCCACGCGUAGGGUCAACGCCCACCUGGCUCCUGUCUUCUUCUUCGAGUGUGCCCGACGGAGUAGAGCAGGGGCACGGCUCCAGCGACGAGCCCCGGCGACUCGGGCCACCAUUGUCGGUGCUCCGGGCACCGACGAGCUCGGGGAAGAGUGCCGCGUCCAUCUAGGCUGGACACGGAUGCCGAGGAGGACCGAAGCGACGAGGACAUGGACUCCGACGGAGAUGGCUUCGGGUGGGGUUGGGCAUCGUGGCCAGGGUGGCUCCGGCGAGAGGGUGACGGCAGGGGAAGGAUCGCCGGAGUGAGGGGGUCUCACUGGUGGUGGAAAGAACGAUGAGGGAGGGCUCGGGUCGGCUAGAAUCGAGGUGGACAGGGGCGGCGGCAAUGAGGGGCACAGAGGGCUCCUCGAGCUCGAGCGAUGGGCUGGGGAGGGCUAGCGGAGUGUGGGGAGGCUGGUGGUGAGCUCAGACGGCUCGGGGAAGGCUAUAUAUAGCUGGGGCGAGGGGGAUGCCGACCUGGCGCCACCGGUGACGCGUGCCCGGAGCCGUGGACACGUGCCCGCGCGCAUGGACUCGGAGCAAACGACAGCGGAGGAUCAGUGGGGACUCUCACGGGGCAGAGGAGUCCAAGGGGGGUGCUGAGAGAAAGACGACGGCGACAAAAGAUCCAAGACGUCACUAUUCUCUCGUGUUCACGCGGCGACGAGCGUCGGUGAGGAAGCUGCCGGAGGGGAAGAGGGGUCCAGGGGAACAACGACGACACAGGGAACGCACUGGACAUGAUCAUGGGCGCAAAGACAACGAGAGGGGGAGGGGCCCGAGCACAAACAGUAUGCCACAGCGCACAGAGCGCGCCAACUGACAUGCCAGCUGCAUGGUCACCACGAGACAUGGCGCAUUAAAUGCUCUACAACACCCAAAAUGGUGUCUAGUGGUAAGUCCUUCGAAGAUAGGUUUGAAAUGAGGUGGUAACUUGGUGAAAACGUCUCUGGUUAAAAAGAAAUAACCCUCUAAAGUUUACUGCAGUAAACUUCAUCAGCUCAACGAUGUCAACUGGGAAUUAUUGGAAGCCAAAUAGGUUGUCUGGGGUGUUUAGGAUAGGAAGGACUACAGUCCUGGGGAGUUUGAGGGUAAAAGGAUCAAGAUUUACUGCAGUUGCUUCACAAAUGCAUACUUGGUCCAGAAAUGAAGAUCAUGAUGGUGCACUCACAUGGAGUGUCCACUUGAGCUCAGACAGAGCAAAGCUUAGUCAUUUGGUCACAUGAUGAUGCUGUAAAAAGCUCAUGCCAAAUGGCCAAGGCAAAAUGGCUCUUGCUUCACAAACACCUCUGCUGACCAGAAACUUGAAAUAAUUAUGGUGGUCAAAUGGAUCAGUGAAAUGAUGCCAAAAUGGGUGGAGGAAUGUUUUAUGGGUAUAAGAAUGAUCUGGUAAUUUAUCAGGAUUUUUGAAGCAAUAUAAAAUAUACUUGCUUCACAACCUAGGGCAAUUGGAGUUAUUCCUUUAAUAGAAAAGGAAUAUUCCCAAUGAAACGAAUAUUGGGAUUUGGGCUAGGAUGGAAAUGACAGGGUCUAGGGAAAGAUUUGGGAAUGACAAGCCACUCUAGAAACAAAGAAGAGGGCAUCUUCUUCAGUUUCCAGACCACAAAGCCAUGGAAAAAGAAAACUCAGGCAAAAACCUCGGAAAAACAAAAGAAAAAGAAAGGGCCAAAAAUCAGGCUGUGACAAACCUUACUCCCUUAAAGAAAUCUCGUCCUAGAGAUUUGGUUGCUCAGGGAACAAGUAUGAAUAUUCUGACUUAAGGAAACCGUUUCCAACUCGGGUAUCCUUUUUCCUUUAUUGUUGUUCCAACUAAAUUUGUAUCCGACUGGCCCUGGGGUAGUUUGAUUCACUAUAUCCUCCUUCUGACAGAUCUUACCUGGCUUUGCUCAUGCUUAUAUAGGCUCCAAUUUCUUUUUAGAUCUGCUGACUAGCUGAGUGUGAUUUGAUUAUCAUGACUGAAAUAUAUGUCUGUCUCACAAAUCCAAAAGUGAUUUCCGCUGGGUGUGCCACCCGGCACUGACAACCUUUCAUGUAAUGAUGAUCAGAAUUUUCUGAUGAAAAAUCAAGCUCUGACUCAUUGCAUUUGGUUUCUCCACUAAAUGCAAGUCAUUUGGGUUCCAAACAGUGAGUUAAAACAUAACCAUUUCCUGACAGAUUCGGAUUCAUCGUAGAAGUUUCUGGAUCAUCUUAACUGGUUCCACUUUCAUGAGUAUCGGAUCCGUACCAAAUAUUUGAUCAUCUCCUGAUGCGGCCAACAAAAAGGGUUUGGCCUGUAUGAUAAUAUUUGCAGACUUGGCUGACAGUGGUUCUGACAGACGAAAUUUUUUGUUCACGACAGGCUGUCCAUGAUGAUUCAUAUAAGUGAGGACUCAGACUUCCAGACUGUUAUUCCUCAUGUCAAUUACUCAUGUUGUAGGCAUAUCCAUGUGGAUCAAUACUGACUUGGACUGUCCGGGGGAUCUGCACCAUGGGGGUCGUGCAACAAUUUUCAUACCUACAUCAUGGGUCUUGCUCCUUCAUUAUUAUUUUCUUGGUCUAGAUCCUUGGCUGAAAGAGCUAGGUCAUAUUGCUUCUUCGUGUGACCAUAGGCAAUGUCGGUGCAAUUUUUCGGCAGUCGUAGCUUAUCCUCAUUUUUCUGAUAAGGUAACCCAUUAAAUGGCGGGUUCAACACCUCUCAAGUUUUGAUUGUUGGGAAAUGAUCAUCCGAAACCCUUGCAAGAAAUUGACAAAUAAAUCAGUAGCCACCAGAACGGUCUUUACAACUCAAAUCUGGGACAUUACUGAAAUAACUCAACCACGGCUCAAGACGGCCGGAAAACAGCUCAGAGCAUGAGACCGGUUGAUAAGAAGGUGGCAGCUCCCUAAAAUAGCCAAAAAGUAGCUAUAGGGCUACUGUCACAAAAAGAAACUCAAUAGUUGUACGAGAUGGUCGAAAAGCAGCUCAGACUCUCGACAGUCGUUGAAGAGAGAAACAAAAAUCGGCAUCCACCCCAGAUAGGUAGAAAUAGCUCAGAUCACAGGCGUGGUGCCGUCAUUGGAGAAAAGGGGACAAGGGCUCAUCAGGAUCAUUUUCCAGGUCCACAGGUACUUGUACUGAGCUCACUGAGGUCGUCAAUCCUCAUAAUCCUUCAUCACACUGCGGUGUAUACAGACUUUUUUCUCUUAAUCAUCAUCACGUGGUUAUCAGAUCCUCAUCCGAGUGACUUGUAAGAUCUUGCUGGUAUGCUCAUUGCAUAUAUGCGGACCUGAUUCUGAGACAAAUGUGUAUUUUGACUGAUUCUUGAUUCUGACCAGAAUGUUGCGGAUCUGAUUCUUGGGAUCCACUGCCAUAUGCUGUCCAUUCACAGUGUACUAUCUUGUACCAAUGUCUUACUGAGGAAUAUUUGCUGGCUUGUGCUCGACUUUCAUCGGACAGCUUGCUGAAGAAGACUAAAUAUCGUGCUUCAAAAGCUUACCCCCUUAAAGACUUUGCUGGGGAAAGACUCAGUACCUUAUGUUGGAAGCUUUUGCAGUUGCUUACUGAAGAAAACAGGGUACCUUGCGCGAGAAAUCAUCCAUGUAUCGUACUGAGGAAGAUAGAUCAAUCUUGCCUUGGAAGCUUCUCUGGUUUUUUGCGAGGGAAAAUUGGGUUGCUUACACCAAAAACUUCUUAUUGUGAUAUGCGGACCGAUUUCCACAUAUACAACCAUCUGAAUAUUUUUGCUAUUGAUUUCUUGCAUGAUACGGGGUUUUGCAGGACUAUACUCCUUUCUGAGUAUAUGCCAUAUUUUUGCUUGCUUCUAGGUACAUCGAGUUCCAAAAUCAUCCUCAACAAAAAAUUAAACUUGUAUCUGAGUCAUACCUUUGAUAAUAUUUUGUCAACCUUGCACACACUUUAUCUUCUGGCUGAUUUAAUCAUUUUGUUGUGAUGAGUGCACGCUAAAGCAAACUUGAUACUGACGGCCCAUCCAGGAUUUCUUUUGCAUCCAGUCAAGAUAUUCCCAAUUUCACUACAGCCAGCUGAUAAUUCCAUUCUGUUUAGCUGAGUUUCCAAAUAUAUGCAUUUCUUGCUGAUUCUUCGGGUCUGGUGUCGGCUGACGAGCAACUUUAAUAGGGGAAAAAUUUGUAACACCGAAGGCCCAAAGAAAGGAACAACAAAAACGACAAAAGCACACAAGCAUUCUACUAAUAUAAUUAAUCAAGCGAUCACCACAUAUUACUGCUACUCACACAAUAAUAUGCAUGCACACCUAAGCACACAAAUCUCGCGGAAACUCCGGUAUUGCGGUCUAAUAUGCUGUGACGAUGUGCACAAGGACGAAUAAAUGUGUGGAAGAGUCGGUGUAAACAGCGCUACACCAAGGGCUAGCUUAGCCAGGUGGCAAUCUGAACUAGCUCGGAGGCGAGGACGUACUUGGUAAUCAUGCAGUAGGACAUGAAGGUCGCAACCACAUCAUUAUCAAGCGGACGGAAAAAGAUCCGUACUCAUCCAGGAAAUAGGAUAGCAGGGAAAAACUGAGGCUGCUGACAUUGUCCUUCCUUGAUAACUAUGAUCAUUAAGGGUUGCCAACACGUCAAAAAGAACGAUCCGGGAUAGAAACAUGUCCAUCAUCGAAACGAUAGACGAGACUGAAGGAAAGACAUCGGUGCGAUACCUGAGCACCAUUUUUGCAAACAGUGUCGGGAUCACUUGGCAUCACUCUGCUGGGACAGAAAUGACACCAAACACCGAAAGAAAAAGGGAACUGGAGAAAUGCAACCGUUGAACUGUAGUGGAUCCGAAUCGAUGCCAGCUACACUCACCAGAUAAACCGUUAGCGACUAAAUAAUAAUCUAUAUGCAUGCUAUGCGAGAAACAAAUGCAGCAAUCAAGUGCAACAAACCAACUGGGGUCUAUACUACCACUUUCUAACGUUCGCGCGGUCUAGGGCGUCCUACUACCAGACCUGCUCUGGUACCAAGCCUGUGGCACCCCGGCUCUGAGAAAACCGGAACGCCCGUAUUCCAGCCCAUAGAUCGAGGAGAAGUCUUCUGGAAUACGACACUGCUUAGCAUAGAACAAACCAUCUUUCUAUUAUUACAUGAAUACGAAUACAAGGUCUCUGAUAUUACAAUGAAUAACAUCGGUACAACGACACUACGCCAUCCUCAGUUGCUCUAUGCAAGCAGCAGAACAACUCGAAGCAGCGGAAUAACUCUAGCAGCGGAACAACGGCGACGGUGGUGAACUCCACUCCACAGGGACUCUGGCUAGAACGCUUAUCUUAGCUCGCACGAACAGAAACCACGACAAGCAAGCUAUCACAUCCGGCAUGACCUGCAAACUAGCAUGACACGCCAGGUCAGUACAUUGAAUGUACUUGCAAGCUCACAAUAAACCAGAAGCAUUCAAGGCAGACAACAGCAUGGUAAUUACAGGUUAAACACGAAUUAACAUGAUAUCAUCAGAAUAACAUGGCAUGACCAACAUAAACAUGAUACAGUUAUCUCAACACGAACAUAUUAAUCUGACAAUACUAGCAUGCAACAAAUAACACUAUAUGCACCACUUACUCUGCUCUGGCUACCUCGUAAGCAACUCACGCAUCACUUACCAACCUCGGAUAUCACACGAUUAUCUCAAUCAUAUCAAUCAAAGCAUGGCAUGGCAUAAACAAACUACCAAUCAUAUCAAAUGCAGACAUAGCAUGUUAACUAUAUGCAACCAUCUCAUGACCUACCAUUGUUCUUUAAAUGCAAACAUAUUACUCAUACAAUGCAACCUAACUUGUGCACUGAGUCCUAAGGACUCUCUUACCAACGGUGAUCAUCUCAUUUCCUGAUCCCCAACAGGGACAAACUUGUGAUCCUUACGGUGAUCACAACCCGACCACUAAAUGGCCCGUGAUCCUUACGGCGAUCACAACCCGACCAACACUUGGCCCGUGACCCUUACGGCGAUCACAAUCCGACCAACACAUGGCCCGUCUCGUUGUUAUUAAACACAUUAUUUUUAUUACUGUUGACUCAUGGUGUGACCUUCUCUCCACCUAGUCCCUUAUCCGCGGGCGCGGCUGUCGGUAGAUUUAAUAUACAUUCUGUAGAGGUUAGUACAUUGUACCCACACUACGGAACCCAUGGGCUCGCCCUCCUAUUCGGGUGGACCAACGGCGUUCCGACAAAACCGAUCUACUGCCAUGACACUCUCCCGGCCAUUCUGACUCACUCCUCACUGAGCUAAGUCAUGGGUGGCCCCGUGUCUACCUCGAGACACAACGACCACCGUCGUGGCCCGAUCCACUCUGGGACCCUUGCGCAAAAUCAAAUCAAACCCGGGCACACAAGGUUAUGCUCCGCCUACCUGAUCAGGGUUGCACGCGCCCAUAACCUUCCCUCGUUGGAGGCUUCGGCGAGAGGCACAACAAUAGACCCAGUUAGGACCAUCCCAUACCGGUAAGCGUGGUUGCACUGGUCAGCAUCGAUUCAGCGGCACCAUGACUCAGCCAACAGGUGUUCAAGUUCAAUUUAAUCCGGUUAAACUUGAAUGCAAAUAUGCUGAGCCAUGAUAAAAUAACAUGAUGCCAACUAUAUUACGUGAACAUGAUAUCAACAUCACCAUGAGAGUAUCACAUAACUUUCCACCAUAUCAACAAUAACUCAUAUCCACUGAACAUCGCAUACCGACUAGCAUGACCAUAUCCAACAUCAACAUGUACUACUAACAAGCAUAAACAUAUGAACGUAAAUACUAGCAGGUAUAACAUGAUCAUAGAGUAUAAUACAACAUAGCACAAAAGUGAACAUGCAAAACUGAACAUCACCGGAACAAGGAUAACCAUCCUUUUAACAAGCAAACAUUCAUUAAAUAUUCAAGUUGAAAACCAUGGCUACUGCAUGACUAUCAUGCAAGUGGGUAUUGUGGCUUGCCUGGGGAUGAAGAAGGCACCGGGGAGAAGUGCGGUGAAGUCGCGGAAAGAUUCGCUGGAAAACGUACUCUCUCGGAGGGGGCUGAUUAAGGGCAAGGGCAUAAUGGUCAUUUUCACAGUGUCAAACCAUAGUGAAAACAUGACCAACAGAACGGGCUCGACGAAACAAAGAAGUAGGCUUUGGAAUCACCUCAAACGGAGUUACGGAUAAAAAGAUAUGGCAGGUUGAAGUUCAGGGACUUUUCUGUAAAAAGAAUAUUCACAAUCGGCUCCCUGAGUGGACAAGGCAGAGGCGCAAAGUU
rnacentral:lncRNA from 1 species